GAUGAACGCUGGCGGCGUGCUUAACACAUGCAAGUCGAACGAAGCACUUUAUUUGAUUUCCUUCGGGACUGAUUAUUUUGUGACUGAGUGGCGGACGGGUGAGUAACGCGUGGGUAACCUGCCUUGUACAGGGGGAUAACAGUUGGAAACGGCUGCUAAUACCGCAUAAGCGCACAGCAUCGCAUGAUGCAGUGUGAAAAACUCCGGUGGUAUAAGAUGGACCCGCGUUGGAUUAGCUAGUUGGUGAGGUAACGGCCCACCAAGGCGACGAUCCAUAGCCGACCUGAGAGGGUGACCGGCCACAUUGGGACUGAGACACGGCCCAAACUCCUACGGGAGGCAGCAGUGGGGAAUAUUGCACAAUGGGCGAAAGCCUGAUGCAGCGACGCCGCGUGAGCGAAGAAGUAUUUCGGUAUGUAAAGCUCUAUCAGCAGGGAAGAUAAUGACGGUACCUUACUAAGAAGCACCGGCUAAAUACGUGCCAGCAGCCGCGGUAAUACGUAUGGUGCAAGCGUUAUCCGGAUUUACUGGGUGUAAAGGGAGCGCAGGCGGUGCGGCAAGUCUGAUGUGAAAGCCCGGGGCUCAACCCCGGUACUGCAUUGGAAACUGUCGUACUAGAGUGUCGGAGGGGUAAGCGGAAUUCCUAGUGUAGCGGUGAAAUGCGUAGAUAUUAGGAGGAACACCAGUGGCGAAGGCGGCUUACUGGACGAUAACUGACGCUGAGGCUCGAAAGCGUGGGGAGCAAACAAAAUUAGAUUCCCUGGUAGUCCCCGCCGUAAACGACCAAUAAAAGGUGUUGGGAAGCAUGCUUUUUCGGUGCCGUCGCAAACGCAGUAAGUAUUUCCACCUGGGGAGUACGUUCGCAAGAAUGAAACUCAAAGGAAUUGACGGGGACCCGCACAAGCGGUGGAGCAUGUGGUUUAAUUCGAAGCAACGCGAAGAACCUUACCAAGUCUUGACAUCCUUCUGACAGGUACUUAAUCGUACCUUCUCUUCGGAGCAGGAGUGACAGGUGGUGCAUGGUUGUCGUCAGCUCGUGUCGUGAGAUGUUGGGUUAAGUCCCGCAACGAGCGCAACCCUUAUCUUUAGUAGCCAGCGGUUUAGCCGGGCACUCUAGAGAGACUGCCAGGGAUAACCUGGAGGAAGGCGGGGAUGACGUCAAAUCAUCAUGCCCCUUAUGACUUGGGCUACACAUGUGCUACAAUGGCGUAAACAAAGGGAAGCAAAGCUGUGAAGCCGAGCAAAUCUCAAAAAUAACGUCUCAGUUCGGACUGUAGUCUGCAACCCGACUACACGAAGCUGGAAUCGCUAGUAAUCGCAGAUCAGAAUGCUGCGGUGAAUACGUUCCCGGGUCUUGCACA
rnacentral:rRNA from 1 species